CAGUCGAGCGGACAGAUGGGAGCUUGCUCCCUGAUGUUAGCGGCGGACGGGUGAGUAACACGUGGGUAACCUGCCUGUAAGACUGGGAUAACUCCGGGAAACCGGGGCUAAUACCGGAUGCUUGUUUGAACCGCAUGGUUCAAACAUAAAAGGUGGCUUCGGCUACCACUUACAGAUGGACCCGCGGCGCAUUAGCUAGUUGGUGAGGUAACGGCUCACCAAGGCAACGAUGCGUAGCCGACCUGAGAGGGUGAUCGGCCACACUGGGACUGAGACACGGCCCAGACUCCUACGGGAGGCAGCAGUAGGGAAUCUUCCGCAAUGGACGAAAGUCUGACGGAGCAACGCCGCGUGAGUGAUGAAGGUUUUCGGAUCGUAAAGCUCUGUUGUUAGGGAAGAACAAGUACCGUUCGAAUAGGGCGGUACCUUGACGGUACCUAACCAGAAAGCCACGGCUAACUACGUGCCAGCAGCCGCGGUAAUACGUAGGUGGCAAGCGUUGUCCGGAAUUAUUGGGCGUAAAGGGCUCGCAGGCGGUUCCUUAAGUCUGAUGUGAAAGCCCCCGGCUCAACCGGGGAGGGUCAUUGGAAACUGGGGAACUUGAGUGCAGAAGAGGAGAGUGGAAUUCCACGUGUAGCGGUGAAAUGCGUAGAGAUGUGGAGGAACACCAGUGGCGAAGGCGACUCUCUGGUCUGUAACUGACGCUGAGGAGCGAAAGCGUGGGGAGCGAACAGGAUUAGAUACCCUGGUAGUCCACGCCGUAAACGAUGAGUGCUAAGUGUUAGGG
rnacentral:rRNA from 1 species